rnacentral:ncRNA from 1 species
UAAGGAUGCAGAUACCUGAAAGGGUAGACUGAGUACAUAAGGGCACUGAUAAAGAAAUUUAUUAAGCGUGAAUUAAAGCACGCCAGCCUUAUGGGAAGAGCACCGCCGAGGUGUUCUUUUUUUGGAAAAA